rnacentral:rRNA from 1 species
GACGGAGGGUGCUAGCGUUGUUCGGAUUGACUGGGCGUAAAGGGCGUGUAGGCGGUCGGCCAAGUCUGAUGUGAAAGCCCGAGGCUCAGCCUCGGAAGUGCGUCGGAAACUAGUCGGCUGGAGCGCGAUAGAGGAGGGUGGAAUUCCUGGUGUAGCGGUGAAAUGCGUAGAUAUCAGGAGGAACACCGGCGGCGAAGGCGGCCCUCUGGAUCGUUGCUGACGCUGAGGCGCGAAAGCCAGGGGAGCAAACGGG